rnacentral:misc_RNA from 1 species
UCCGGUUUAACACCGGCAGUCUCCACAGAGUGGUCAACUUAAUGGUACCAACUACGGACAAGGGUUGCGCUCGUUGCGGGACUUAACCCAACAUCUUACGACACGAGCUGACGACAGCCAUGCAGCACCUGUCUCUGCGUCCCCGAAGGGACACUACCAUCUCUGGCAGCUUCACAGGAUGUCAAACCCAGGUAAGGUUCUGCGCGUUGCUUCGAAUUAAACCACAUACUCCACCGCUUGUGCGGGCCCCCGUCAAUUCCUUUGAGUUUUAGCCUUGCGACCGUACUUCCCAGGCGGGAUACUUAAUGCGUGUGCUGCGAUACUCAGAGGGUUAAUUCUCCGAACAUCUAGUAUCCAUCGUUUAUGGCGUGGACUAC